rnacentral:rRNA from 1 species
GGCGAACGCUGGCGGCGUGCUUAACACAUGCAAGUCGAACGAUGAAGCCGGAGCUUGCUCUGGUGAAUUAGUGGCGAACGGGUGAGUAACACGUGAGUAACCUGCCCUUGACCCUGGGAUAACUGCGGGAAACUGUAGCUAAUACCGGAUACGACCCUCGGAGGCAUCUCCUGGGGGUGGAAAGAAUUUCGGUCAAGGAUGGACUCGCGGCCUAUCAGCUAGUUGGUGAGGUAACGGCUCACCAAGGCGACGACGGGUAGCCGGCCUGAGAGGGUGACCGGCCACACUGGGACUGAGACACGGCCAGACUCCUACGGGAGGCAGCAGUGGGGAAUAUUGCACAAUGGGCGCAAGCCUGAUGCAGCAACGCCGCGUGAGGGAUGACGGCCUUCGGGUUGUAAACCUCUUUUAGCAGGGAAGAAGCGAAAGUGACGGUACCUGCAGAAAAAGCACCGGCUAACUACGUGCCAGCAGCCGCAGUAA